UCGAAACUUUUGCGCUGAAUUUCUGUUUAGUGUUUAAUGUUUAUCGUCUCGUUUGUUCAUAAAAUGUCAUAGUUAUCGUUCCCAUUCAGACACUAAACACCGCCAACGACACAAACAGUUUUCUCAAAUGGAACCGACCGAACGUUGGAUCGUGCACCGAUGGUGAAGCGCUUACGACUCGUGGUUGAUGUAGCUGUGAACUGUAAAACACAAUUUUUGAUUACGAAAUGGCAUUGGCCAUCCGGGUGGUGCUGUUGGCCAUCCCACUUUUGAUCGGGCUGCUUUCAGUUGAUUCCCAUGACCUCAAUCAUCCGAAGGACGACAAGAGUUUGGCUGAAACUAAUGUUUUGCAGUACGAAGGAAUCAUAUUUCUGUCCACACUUGAUGGUUUUUUCAUCGCUGUCGACCAAAGGUCUGGCAAAACCUUAUGGAAGUUUCGCGAUGAUCCACCUGUCAAAGUUCCAUCAAAUAUUAAAGAUGCCCUCACACCAUUAUUUUUGCCAGAUCCUAGAGAUGGUUCUCUAUAUUUACUACAUAAUAAGGAUAAAGUAGGAAUCAAAAAGUUGGAUGUAACUAUCCCUCAAUUAGUAGCUAACUCACCAUGUAGAAGUCAGGAUGGAAUAUUAUUUUCUGGCAAAAAAAUUGAUAGUUGGUACUUUAUUGAUUGGAAUACUGGUGAAAAACACCCGUUUAUGAAUUUUGAAAAGCAAGGUGAAAUAUGCACAGCGAUUGCUUCAAAAUCUAUACUAUUGAGUAAAUCUGAAUAUAGUGUCAUGAUGGUUGACAGUUUGAGUAGUGACCAACGCCAAUGGAAUGUAACGUUUUUCAGUUACAACUCUAAGACUAUGACUGAUGAACAGAAUUAUAAUCAUGGUUUGACAUAUUUUGCCGCUAGUUCGUCUGGUAAUUUUGCAGUUUUUCUUAAUUCUAAAGAUAAAUUUGAAAAAUCUCCUCCAAUUAAUUAUCAUGAUUUACUCUGGGAAAGAGAAUUUGAUUCACCUGUUAUUGGAGUUUAUCAACAUGAUGGAGAAAGUCUACUGUCAUUACCAUUAACAAACAUAGCUAAAGACUCCAUAAAGCAUUUGAUUUCAAACAUUGCAUUAUCAUCAAAAGAUCCUAAUUCUGUUAGUUAUUUCCAUACACUUUACAUUGGACAUCAUAUUAAUACUGGAUUAUAUGCAUUACCAGCAAUUGCAGAUACUGGUGAAGUUAAUCCAUUAGUAGAUAGAGGAUUAAUUGUUCUUUUAGACAAAACUUCUUUUUCAGUAUUGCCAUAUUAUAGUGGUAAUGAAUAUAAUGUAGAACCUAAAAAUGUUGAAAACCACACAAUCUUAUUGGGACACUACCAGCUGAAUCAAGAAUUAAAUACAGGCACACCGAGAAUAACAGGGAACACCGAUUCAAUAAUUUACUAUCACAAUAUGAGUGGAUAUAACUACAGCAGUAAACAAACAAAGACAAUAUCUACUCAGACUCCUCAAUCCAUAGACUCGUGGCUUAUUGUUCAAAUACUUGGAGACAACGCUGGAAUUAAAUUAUUCAUGGUUGGGAUAACACUUUUGAUGAGUUUAAUGUUCUGGUAUUUACGAAAAGAAAUGAAAGGUUUGAAGAAUAAAUCAAAUAAUAGUCAUAACAGUUCUCAGGGAAGUUCAAGAGGUUCAAAUCAUUCCAAUAUUAGUUCAUCUCAAAUAGUUGAAGAAUUGCCUGAUGGUAGUUUUUGUAUUGGAAAAAUUAUUUUUCGUACAGAUGCAAUUCUAGGAAAAGGAUGUGAAGGAACAUCAGUAUUUAAAGGGGAGUUUGAAAGUAGGCCUGUAGCUGUCAAACGAUUGUUGCCAGAGUGCUUCAUUGCUGGUGAAAGAGAAGUUCAUAUUCUUCGAGAAUCUGAUUAUCAUCCUAACGUUGUUCGUUAUUAUUGUACAGAACAAGAUAAACAAUUUCGAUAUAUUGCACUAGAAUUAUGUGCUGCUACAUUACAAGACUAUGUAGAAAAAAAUGUACUAAAAAAUGAAAUUAGUCCAAAAGAAAUUUUAUGUCAGUCAAUUAAAGGUCUGCAGCACCUUCAUUCCCUUGGAAUAGUUCACAGGGACAUAAAACCCCACAAUGUAUUAUUGUCAAUACCAACACGUGGAAAUGGUAGUUUUAGUAGCGUUCGAGCAUUGAUAAGUGAUUUUGGGUUAUGCAAAAAACUACAGGGUGGAAAAAUGUCUUUUUCAAAACGUUCAGGCAUCACUGGAACUGAUGGCUGGAUAGCACCAGAAAUGUUUGUUACAAACGCAUCUGUAACUAAAUCUAUAGACAUUUUCUCAAUGGGCUGUCUGUUUUACUAUAUUCUCAGUCAAGGAAAACAUCCAUUUGGUGAUUCAUUGUGGCGUCAAGCUAGAAUAUUGGAUAAACGUCAAAUCCCUUGUCUCGAUGCAUUAAAUGAAAAUGAAAUUUGGAAACGUUUGAUAUCUCUGAUGAUAAGUCGAAAUCCAGAAGAUAGACCCACUGCUACAGCUGUUCGUUAUUAUCCAGCAUUCUGGGAUAGCUCUACAUUGCUAUCCUUUCUUCAGGAUGUUAGCGAUCGUGUGGAAAAGGAACAUUCAACGAGUCCUGUAAUGCUAGAGCUUGAAAAAGGCGGUGAUGGAGUGAUCGGACAAGAUGGGUGGCAUGAUAAAAUUGAUCAAGAAAUAACUUCUGAAUUAAGAAAAUACCGGACGUAUAGAACUGGGAGCAUUAGAGAUUUGUUAAGAGCAUUUCGAAAUAAAAAACAUCAUUUUCGGGAACUAUCUCAAGAUACACAGAAGUUAUUUGGUGAUAUUCCUGAUACAUUUUUAGAAUAUUGGACUACCAAAUUUCCACUAUUAGUGUAUCAUACAUGGACAGCUAUGCAAUGUUUAUCAAACGAAAUCACGUUUGUUAAAUACUAUACAAGAUGUUACCAUUUUCCACGUACAGAAUUUUCUGAUUUGCCUAACUGGCUAUAUGAAAAUGAUCAGCCAAUCGCAUUCAGUAGCUUACAAAAAGUACCAAGACGCCAAAAUAAUGGUAUGAGUUGGCGACACAAAAAACGUGGAAAACCUGUUGAAACUUCUGAACAAUAAUUUUCCAAUGUUACAAAAAGAUUAUUUAAUGUUUAUAGUAUUAUACAUACCUCAUUUUUUAAAUUCAAGUGAUUGAAGUAUGCUGCUCCUGCAUCUGAUGAUAUUCCAUAAGGUGUUCUGCACUUAAUCUAGCCCCUGUUCUUAUUGACACUGGUGUCAAGGAAAAACUACCACCAUUUUGUCUAGAAAUAUG